UCAAACUUAGGGCCACGCCCUCAGGCCUGUAGCGCUACUCGGAACCGGGAAGACAGAGGCUGCUCACCUGUGUGACUUACCGUAGCUGAAGAUCAGGAUUCUGUGGGAGGACUGCAGCCUCAAGGCACAUCCAGGUGUCCUUCCCUCCAGGUGUAGAUCAGCAUGUGGGUAUGUGACAUGAGUACAGAGAUUAGAGCCAUUGGAUCCCUUGGAGAUUGAAUUACAGACUGUUCUGAGACACCUACAUGAAUUCUGGGAACCUAACUUGGUUCCUCGGGUAGACCAGCAAGUGGUCUUAAUUGUUGAACCAUCUCUCCAGCCACAACGGUGAAAGGUUAUUUUAGAGCAGUUCUCCAGGCAAACCAGAAAUAUCAGUACAACCUGGUGCUUCAUCUACAUGUAUGUCUGUGCAUUCUGUAUGUGCCUGGUGACCACUGAAGCCAGAAGAGGGCAUUGGAUUUACUGGAACUGGUAGUACCUACAGUUAUGAGUCAAUAUGUGUGUGCUCCAGCUUCAAAUCAUAAUCAAACUUUAAAAAUAUCAAGUAGAAGCUGGACAGAUGGAUCAGCAGGAUCACCUAAGAAAUUACUGAGGUCUCAUCUGGAUGUGCUUCUGUGAAGGCAUUUCCAGGGCAGAUUAACUACAAGGACAAUCUACUCUUAAUGUGGGUGGCAUCAACCCACGGGUCAGGGUCUCAGACUGAAUGAAAGGAGAAGGAGAAGGAAAGCAGCAAAGCAUCAACAGACCCCUCUCUUCUUCCUGUGGACCAUCAAGUGAAUAGCUCCCAUUGCAAUCAGCCAUGAUGUGAAGUGCUCUCACUGUUACCCUUAUGAUAUUUUCCCUAAGCGCACUUGGGACAUGGACUGAACACACUGAAAUUAUGAGCCAAAAUAAAUCUUUUCUCUUUUAA